GAUUAUUUAGGACCGGUUCGAACCGGUGCGCAAUUUAAACCAGAAACCCGCAUAAGUUUAAUUAUUUCGCGAAACCUUGUUCUUCCUUCAAUUCAUUUCCCCUGCUUUUCCACAUUGAAUGCUUCGUUCCUUCUCUCGUUCUCGCCUAGCAUCACUAUGGCUAUCCUUCAUUGAAGCGCACUCUGAGCUUUCUCACCUCCAUUGCCGCCAAGGUCAAUUUCUUUUUUCUCUCCAUAGCCCUCCUACAUUGAAACGCAUUCAGAGCUUUCUCAUCCCGAUCUAUUGAAGCGAAUUCAAGGGUUUUCUCACCUCCAUUGUAGCAGCUUCGAGGGUUUGUCAUUGAAGCGCGCACGACUCUACCUCCACCACAACAACCUAUUUGUCACGGCGGCAUGGCCUUCUUUUUCUAGGGUUUAUCGUCGAUUGAGGUUUGAUUAAUUCAUUGCUGUUAUUUGCUUAAAGGUAUGCUUAUUGUUGGAGAGUUCUAUUUGUUUGGUGAUGUGGUUUCUUCUUGACAGUUGAAUUAUUGGUGAUAAGUUGUUGUAAUACUCUUAAAAGGUUUGUGCUAAUUUGGUGUCAUGAUUUGCUUAAAGGUUUUGACUUCUUUAUUCUGUUUCUUGUUUCUUUAGCUCUUGCAGAUAUUUUGUGUAUGUUUAUGCUUAGUGUUUGAAUCGUCUAGUAGAUUAUUUGUUGAUUUCGAUGGCGAAAUUCUUUAAAGGUUUGUGCUUAUUGAUGAUUGAUCAGGAGUGCUGAUGGGUAACCAAUUUUUUUGAAUUAGGGUUAUUUGGUUUUAUAUUUGUAGAGUGCAGUUAUUGGAAGGUGAACAAUGCUGUUAGUUGAUUUUGUUGAUCAUUGAAUAGGUUUGCCUAUUUGGUAUGCUUGAUCAUUUGAGUUGAUUGAUUACCAAUUUUUUCGAAUUCGGUUUUUUGUUUGGUUUGAUUCUUGUUGAGCAUGCAGUUGCUUAUUGGCUGUUGACUAAUCGGUGAUCAAGUUAGCUGAAUAUAAAGGUUUUGCGCUAUUCAAAUUUUUCGAAUUAGGGUAUUUUUUGGUUUGAUUCUUGAGCAUGCAGUUUUUUGUUAGCUGUUGAAUAUUUGGUGAUCAAGUUAGCUGAAUAAAAAGGUUUCGGUUAAUUGAGGUUUGAUCUAUUGGCUCAUUGAUUAUAAAAUUCUUCAAACUUAGGGUUUUUGGUUUGAUUUUUGAUUAUUAGAAAGGCUUGCAGGAUUGGUGUUUGAUCUCUAGAGCUAUUAUGAUUUAACGCUUUGUUUGUUGCUGCACUGUCCUUUGUUACAUAAAAAUGUGGCAGAGUUUUGGGCAGCUACUUUUGCAGUUUUUUCAAGCUUGUGAAUAUUACCAGUUAUCACCAAAAAUUAUCCACAAACCUAUCUUAACCAAAAAAAAUUUGGGUAAACAUAUAGAUUCUACAUAACUAAUCUGAUAUUGUAGUUUGUUUGACUUGGUAUUAAUUAAUUUCUGAUUAGUGAUUAAUUUUACGAAUAUUAUUAUUGUUAAUGGUGCUUUUUAGUGACUAAUAUGGCUAACUACCCGUACACCUGGACUUGCAAAGAAAAAAUUGCCUUGCGGUGAUCAAGUGGGUUAUUUGCUAAAAGGUUUGCUUAUUACUGGAUAUUUCUUUUUAUUUGGUCAUGUGGCUAUUUCUUGACAGUUGAAUUAUUGAUCAUCAAGUUGGUGUUGUGUCAAUUGUUUCUUCUAUGAAGCAUUUCGUCUAAGGUGGUGUAGUGCUCUGCAGAUAUGUAAGUGCUAUCCAGGUAGUGCUUCUCCUAAGAUUUUAUUGUUAUUUAGUUAAAAUCAAGUCAUGGAAUCUCUUGGUCCAUUAUACCAGCGAUCACAUGGCCACAAAAUUGCACUUCAAACUUCUGAGACAGGCUAAGGAACCUUUUCUUACGACUUUAUACCCGUUAUUGUCUUCUUUAGGUCAUUUAUUUAUUACGGGGUAAUGUUGAGUUGUUAUUUUGUUGGAUAGAUAUCACAUCCGUGUUGCAUGCUUGCUGGAGAUUACAAUGAUUCGUUUCUACUGUGCUUUCUCUACAUCUAGUAUGGCAAUAGGAAAAUUCAUUUGUUAACUAUUUCUUUUUUGUGAGUUGAUUAGUUUCAGCUGCCUGGUAUGUGUGCUUAUCCUUAUUAUGAUCAUUUACUCACACUAUCAAAGCUAUGGAGCCAUUUUUCUCUGUUUUACUGUCUGCUGCAUAUUUGGGAGAGGUAUAUUUCACAUAAUUUUCAUGUGUUUAUUUUUACAUACAUAGAAUUGUUGAAAUGUGAAAGAUUCUCUGAUGAGUAGGAUUAGACAUUGUUUAGCCAGUGGUUGAAGUAUUUAUUAUGUUUUCGCUUGUGAUUCAAUUUAUGUGUGGGUUAAUUUUCAUAUCCUUCAAUGCGGAAUCCCACUCCUUGGGUUGUGCUUUCACUUCUUCCCAUUGUUGGAGGGGUGGCUCUUGCAUGUGUGACUGAAGCCUCUUUAAACUGGUCAGCGAAUUAACUUUAUGACAAGAUUUUAUGCUUCCUAUUUCCAAGGAUCCCGCUGGGUUUUCAGCAUGAGUAUUAUCUGAACCAUUUGCUUAUUGUGUUUUUGUUUUCAUGAAGGGCUGGUUUUUGGAGUGCUAUGGCUUCUAAUGUGACAAACCAAUCCCGUAAUGUCCUUAGCAAGAAGGUCAUGCUAAAGAAAGAGGAAUUAAUGAACAAUAUUACACUCUUCUCCAUAAUAACAGUUAUGUCCUUUAUACUAUUAGCCCCUGCGAUUAUUUUCAUGGAAGGUGUCAAAUUUACUCCUACAUACAUAGAAGCUGCUCUCUGGAGCCUGCAGUGAUCGGAACAAAGAAUGUGAUUACAGCAGCAGCAGAUGCAAAGAACCUGGUUUGUGCCAAGAAUUUGGUGAUAGACAAGAGCAUCCAAACAUCAUACAUUGAAGCAAUCAGAUCUGCUCAACAUUUCAUUUAUCUCACUCAACUAUUCUUUUAAUAUAUAGAUUUAUUUCCCUUCCAUUUUCUAGAACUCACAACUCGAUUCUUUUCUUUUAAUUUCUGUGAGAAAUGGUAUGCAUACUUUGCUAUGAGUUUAUUAAUAUUAUCUUUUAUCCAAUUUGUGAAUGACAGCAAUUAACUAAAUUGGAGUGCCAUAACCAAUGCCUGCUAUCGAAGAACUGUGGGUGCUUUGCUUGCGUAUGAUGUCACCUGGAAAGCUACAUUUGAGAAUGCUGCAAGGUGGUUGAGAGAGCUACGGGAGCACACUGAUCAGAAUGUUGUUACUACUGAUGAAGGGAAGGCUUUUGUAGAGCAGGAAGGUCUCGUCUUCAUGGAGACUUCUGCUCUUGAAGCAACCAAUGUGGAGCUGGCUUUCACUGAGGUUAGAUCCAUUGUAUCGUCAGCAAGAAGGCUGUUGAUGCUGGUGAUGCUUCUGCAUCGGCUGUUCCAUCCCAACGAGAGAGUAUAAUUGUAUAAAUAUAGAAAUGAGACCUCAGCUUGGAAGAAGAUAGGCUGCUGCUCAUACUAGUUACUUACUAUAGUAAGUCUUUGCUGUCACACCUUUUUGUUUCGCUGGAAAAAAUCCUAACUGGUUGAACUUCUGCUGGUCAGUUCCAUCACUUGAAAGAAAGAAUAGGAAUUUUCAUUGUCUAUAUUAUAUUUUAUUUUUUAGACAAAAAUUGUAAUAUUAUAGCCUUUUUUAGUCAAAAUAUGUAACUUUAUA